GGGGCCUCAAGAUGGGAGGAUACUCAGGGCCAAGGGGACCUGGAACCGGGUCAUCUGGAUACCCAAACAUUUGGCUGAAGGGACAGAAGUUACUGUAUCCAACUGGAGGAAAUAACACCUGUAAAGUGGAAAAAUUCAUGGAAGGUUAAUGCGUUGCUAGAAAUAAAGA